rnacentral:rRNA from 1 species
UGGGGAAUUUUGGACAAUGGGCGAAAGCCUGAUCCAGCAAUGCCGCGUGUGUGAAGAAGGCCUUCGGGUUGUAAAGCACUUUUGUCCGGAAAGAAAUCCUUGGCUCUAAUACAGUCGGGGGAUGACGGUACCGGAAGAAUAAGCACCGGCUAACUACGUGCCAGCAGCCGCGGUAAUACGUAGGGUGCAAGCGUUAAUCGGAAUUACUGGGCGUAAAGCGUGCGCAGGCGGUUUGCUAAGACCGAUGUGAAAUCCCCGGGCUCAACCUGGGAACUGCAUUGGUGACUGGCAGGCUAGAGUAUGGCAGAGGGGGGUAGAAUUCCACGUGUAGCAGUGAAAUGCGUAGAGAUGUGGAGGAAUACCGAUGGCGAAAGGCAGCCCCCUGGGCCAAAUACUGACGCUCAUGCACGAAAAGCGUGGGGAGCAAAACAGGAUUAGAUACCCUGGUAGUCCACGCCCUAAAACGAUGUCAACUAGUUGUUGGGGAUUCAUUUCCUUAGUAACGUAGCUAACGCGUGAAGUUGACCGCCUGGGGAGUACGGUCGCAAAGAUUAAAAACUCAAAAUGAAUUGACGGGGUCAUAGCUGUUUCCU